UACGUAGGGGGGCGAGCGUUGUCCGGAUUUAUUGGGCGUAAAGAGCUCGUAGGCGGUUUGUCGCGUCUUCCGUGAAAACUGGGGGCUUAACUUCCAGCUUGCGGUGGAUACGGGCUGACUGGAGUGCGGCAGGGGAGACUGGAAUUCCUGGUGUAGCGGUGAAAUGCGCAGAUAUCAGGAGGAACACCGGUGGCGAAGGCGGGUCUCUGGGCCGUUACUGACGCUGAAGAGCGAAAGCGUGGGGAGCGAACAGG
rnacentral:rRNA from 1 species